rnacentral:lncRNA from 1 species
CCACCACAGCAACAAAACCCCUUAGAUCUGAAAUCUGGAGAUUCUAGAAAGUGGAAGAGUAACAUGCAAGAGUGAGAGAGGGGUUGGGCCAAGAGAGGGGCGGUGGUGUGGUUUUAGACGGUACACCUCUCAGAUGAAGGUGUCAUGUCAGUGAUGCUGGUGGGUCUGGUUUCAGUAACAAGAUAGAGGCGGUGCGAGGUAGGUUUGUGACGGGUCUCCGUUUAACUCCGGUGAAGCUCCGGCGAGUUCUCCGUUGACCAAUCUGGUUCUACAUGUCAAUAAAUAAUCUUAUUGAUAGGUGGUUCUCCACUACAUUCAGUUUCCGAACCACCAAACAAUUUAGAACCCAGAUAUGCAAACCCCUUUCAUUUCACAUAUGAAAAGUUACAUUAGUCAUCAACAGAAAUACUAAAACCUUAAUUCUCCAUCACAUUGAUUUGUUGUUGAUCAUUGUUGUUUCAGGUAAAUUUUGCUAAUCCUUUGUGUAUUUAUAUGAUUGGUUGAUUUAAAUUGAUGUGAUUUGGGGGAGUAAAAAUUUGAGUUGGUUUUAGGGGUUUUUUAGGGGGCAUCGAGCUAACUAUAUAUAAGUUGUCAGUGACGAAUCUUGAGAUUUCCGGACCGGGGGUCGAAAACGUAUAUACCAAAAAUUUCUAUAAAACCGGGGGGUCAAAAACGUAUAUACCCAAAAAUUUCUAUACGAAAACUACAUACUCUCCAAUACUGAGUGAAAAGUUCGGGGGAUCGGCCGCCCCUCCCGCCCCCACAAAGCUACGCCCUUGUAAGUUGUUAUAAUUUUAUUUGUUGUUUGUAAUUAUUGUGUAUAUAGAAAUUCAUGUUACUUCUAAUUCCCUUUGAGACAUGUAACAGUUUACUUUCUGUUUGGCUAUGUUGUGAUGUAUUGUUUUAGGGGUUAAUUAACUAAUUCUGCAUCUAUAUCUGCUAAUUAAGCUAAGCCUUUUUCUAGGUGAUGAAAAUAGGUUCUUGGACCAUGACAAAAUUAAUGUUGAUUACAUGGGGCAAAUUUUGAGUUCAUACCAUUUGGUUCUGGUCGAAGAAUGUGUCCAGCUAUACCCCUCGCCUCACCGGUGCUUCCACUCGCUUUAGGUUAUUUUGACUAACCCAGAUGAUAUGUAGAGAGAGAAGAGAAAGAUACUAACCCAUAAACAUUUGUAGUUGGAAAAGAGAUGCCAUGGUGGAUGGCACAAUGAGGGAAGGUUGUAGCCGAAGGGAAAGCUGUUGUUCCCAUUCCACCACCAGCUUAAGAUGGCUAGCGGUAUCGACAUAACCGAAUUGUUUUUUUAAUUUAUAACAAAUGUAGUUAUUUUUUGUGAAGCCGGCGGUUUGAGUUUAUUGCGCAUGUAUAUUGCCUAAUUUGGCAGGAAACAUAGCAUCGGUAGAUCAUUUAGUAGAGUUUAGGGGAAUUCUGUGUGGUGUACGUUCCGAAUUAAGAUUAGUUGAAGGCAUUGUUGGUUAUGUGGAUAUAUGAUCCAAUAUUUUAAGUGUUUAGACUAUGGUAUUCGAUGUAAUUAUUAUUUAUUACA